rnacentral:rRNA from 1 species
GCUUGUCUCAAAGAUUAAGCCAUGCAUGUCUAAGUAUAACUCUUUUACUUUGAAAACUGCGAACGGCUCAUUAUAUCAGUUAUAGUUUCUUUGAUAGUCCCUUACUACUUGGAUAACCGUAGUAAUUCUAGAGCUAAUACAUGCGAAAAGACCCGACUUUUUGGAAGGGUUGUAUUUAUUAGAUACAAAACCAAUGCGGAGCAAUCCGGUUUAUGGUGAUUCAUAAUAACUUUUGCGGAUCGCAUGGCCUUGCGCCGGCGAUGAAUCAUUCAAAUUUCUGCCCUAUCAACUUUCGAUGGUAAGGUAUUGGCCUACCAUGGUUACCACGGGUAACGGGGAAUUAGGGUUCGGUUCCGGAGAGGGCGCCUGAGAAAUGGCGACCACAUCCAAGGAAGGCAGCAGG